UUUAUUCCACCUGUAAAUCAACUAUCAUUUUCACUUCACAAAUCGGCACAAGAAGCUGCUGUCAAGGCGAAAUACGAAGAGAUAGUAGUCCGUGUGCAUUCUGUUUGUUUGCAUGUUUUUUCGUGUUAGCAGCAGCAGUUAAAAGCAAAAAAAUGACGCAAAGAUGGAAUUCGGAACAAAAUGAACACUUUGUGGAAUUAUAUAAAGAACAAACCAUUUUGUGGAACUGUAUGGAUCCCAAUUAUAAAAACAGAGAUUUGCGUAAAGCCUCGCUUGAAUACAUUCGUUCAGAAGUGGGGUUAUCGGAUACGAAAGAAGUUACAAAAAAAUAAAAAAUUUACGUUCUACAUACAACCAGGAGAAAUUAAAAAUUGAGAAAAGCAAACGAAGCGGAUGUGGUACUGAUGAGAUAUAUAAACCUUCCGUCCAAUGGUUCGAUGCCAUGGAUUACAUCAUGAAUAUUAUUCAUCUGAAGGAAAAACAAACAAUAAGUAAUCUAGUAAGUUAUUUUCUUCUAUUAUAUAAUGCACUAUAACACUAAAUAUAUAUAUACAUUACUAAAUGAUUCGAUAUUAUACUAUACUGCAACUAUACUACACUAUAUUAUACUGUAUUCUCUAAUUAAUAAAUCAUAUUAUUUUGCCAAGUAACCGCUCCCUCGCUAUUAAAGUAAUGUUUAUAUUUAUCUCUCAUUUUCUCUGCAAUAGCCUUUGAUCUAUUAUUCAUCCGUGAGCGUUGAAUGCUUCGUAAACCCUCAAUCUCUGACCUCCACUGCCCUAAAUUAAUUUCAAAAUUUAUUAUGUCUUCAUAGUCAAUUGUUCCUGGUGGAGUAUACGUUUUCGAUGCAGACAUACGCAACCAGUUGUGUAAAGUACAUGCACAUAAAACUAUCUUCAUUGCGGUAUCCUCUCUAACCUGGAUUGGUUUUCCCAAAAUACGAAAACGAGAUGCUAAAAUGCCAAAUCCAUUUUCAACUAUUCUCCUUGCUCUGCUCAAUCUGUAGUUAAAAAUCUUUUCUUCUUUAGUCGGUGUAUUUUUAUAGGGCUUCAAUAAAUACGGCUUUAAUGGAAACGCAUCAUCACCUACUAAAACGCCAUUUUCAGGCAAUAGAAUAUUGUUUUCUAGAUGAGAAUAUAAAGAGCAUUUUUGAAAUAUCCCACCAUCUGCGUUACGACCGUAUGAGCCUAUAUCAACAUAUCUAAAACAAUAAUCGUGAUCCACGAUUGCCAUUAACACUAUGCUAUUCGUUCCCUUAUAGUUGUAAUAUUCACUACCACAAUUAGGUGGUGCUUGAAUUGUGAUGUGCUUCCCAUCAAUAGCUCCAUAGCAACCUGGGAAGUUCCACCUUGAAUGGAAUCCUACUCCUAUAUCUUGCCAUUCUUCCUUAUUCGGCAUCUGAAAAAUUAAAAUAUAAUUGAACCAUUUCAUGCAUCAACAUCUGGGAGCGAUUUUGCUGAAGAAAUUACAAUAAUCGAUGAGGAGUACCUCGAUGCUACUGAUGAAAACAACGCUGAUGAAAUCCUACCAAAGAAGCCAUCGAACAGAAGAUCGAAGAAGAAAUUGUCAACUGAGCAGUCUACAAUACAAGCGGCCGUGAAUGAACUGAAGGAACUGAAUAAUAAUUUAACAGUGUCUGCCUCGAGUAUGGGAGAACCAGAAGAUGAAUGUGAGGCAAUUGGAAGACAUGUUAUAAUGCAGCUCAGACAGUUAUCCCCAAUUGAUAGAAUUGAUGCGACAGAUGAAAUACAUGCAAUUCUUUCUAGAUACCGUAAGAAUGCCCUCUGCGUCAGUAGAAUGCAAUACACAUAUUCUGAUCACGAAUAUACUGAAACAUCACAGGCGACUGUAGGUUUUCCACCAAGAUCACCCUAACGUCCUACAUCUUCACAAUCAAAUCAACAGUCGCAAAUACUAUAACCAAGUCAUGCAAUAUUGUACUAUUUUUAAGGAUCACUUUCCAUACAAUAGAACUUAGAUAAUAAAAAAAGCUACUUACUUUAAUAAAAUCUUUUAGACUGAAAUUUAUAGCGUCACAUACUUCCGGAAUUAUCUUAGCUAUGGAUGCCUUCGAGAUUCUAAAAAAUAUCGACAAUAAUCUGAACGAUAUUCCAGAGGAGAGGUACACCAAAGUAAUUUCUAAUUUCACUCUUGCAGGUAUAGCACCCCUCAUAAGUGUAUCUUGGCGUUGUAUUUUUGGAGCAAUUAAAUCCAAUAGUGUUUCCACUUGUUCUGGUGUUACUCUCAACACUGCUCUGUACUCUCGGGGAUCAUUAUCGUAGAGUUCGUUCAGUAUUGUAUUUGUUGCUCCUUUUUUUUGCAUCCAAUUCCUGGCCCAAAUCCUUUUGCCUUUCUGCUUUUUCCGAAUAGUACCUUCAGCUCGAAGUAAUUCAGCACAAAGUAUUUUUGUAACCGCUUUUGUCACGGUACGAACUACAGUCAGCCGUGUUUUGCUGGACAACAUUGUAUACGGUAUAAACUACGGUUAGCGUGUAUUUCGGGAUCAAAUUGUGUGAUAAUAAAUGCAACUGAAAACCUGAGAUAAAAACUGCCAAUAGAGAUGUCGAUUUCGGAUCAAUUAUCUGUCAAAUUCUGAUCUGAUUCCUGUUUCUCAUUAUUUGAUGUACAUUUGAAAAAUCACCUGGCAUCCCUGGUAAACCCGUGCUGUUGUAUCUAGUUACAUGCCAACAACUCACACUGUGUGAACAGACAAGGCGAGUCAACCGAUUGUCAAGCGAGUCCACCGGGUCA